rnacentral:rRNA from 1 species
AAGCGGUGGAGCAUGUGGUUUAAUUCGAUGCAACGCGAAGAACCUUACCUGGGCUUGACAUCCCGGGAAUCCCUUGGAAACAAGGGAGUGCCCUUCGGGAACCUGGAGACAGGUGCUGCAUGGCUGUCGUCAGCUCGUGUCGUGAGAUGUAGGGUUAAGUCCCGCAACGAGCGCAACCCUUGUCUUUAAUUGCCAUCAUUGAGUUGGGCACUUUAAAGAGACUGCCGGUGUUAAACCGGAGGAAGGUGGGGAUGACGUCAAGUCCUCAUGGCCUUUAUGCCCAGGGCUACACACGUGCUACAAUGGCCGGUACAGAGGGAAGCGAAGCCGUGAGGCGGAGCAAAUCCCAAAAAGCCGGUCUCAGUUCGGAUUGCAGGCUGCAACCCGCCUGCAUGAAGUCGGAAUCGCUAGUAAUCGCAGGUCAGCAUACUGCGGUGAAUACGUUCCCGGGGCUU